UCGCCAGACUCCUACGGGAGGCAGCAGUGGGGGAUAUUGCACAAUGGGCGCAAGCCUGAUGCAGCGACGCCGCGUGAGCGAAGAAGUAUUUCGGUCUGUAAAGCUCUAUCAGCAGGGAAGAAAAUGACGGUACCUGACUAAGAAGCUCCGGCUAAAUACGUGCCAGCAGCCGCGGUAAUACGGAGGAUGCGAGCGUUAUCCGGAUUUAUUGGGUUUAAAGGGUGCGCAGGCGGCACGGCAAGCCGGCGGUCAAAUCGCGGGGCUCAACCCCGCCCAGCCGUCGGAACUGCCGGGCUAGAGUGGGCGAGAAGUGCGCGGAAUGCGUGGUGUAGCGGUGAAAUGCAUAGAUAUCACGCAGAACUCCGAUUGCGAAGGCAGCGCACCGGCGCCCUACUGACGCUCAGGCACGAAAGCGUGGGUAUCGAACAGGAUUAGAUACCCCUGUAACG
rnacentral:rRNA from 1 species